rfam:Clostridium argentinense CDC 2741 T732.Contig252, whole genome shotgun sequence.
UAACCUAUAUCAAGAGGUAUAGCUGAACAUUUAGAAGUCAGUUCAAGUCAUAGUACUGUAUAAGUAUUUUCGAAAGUUUAGGUUAGGAAAAGAC